CGGAGCUAAUACCCGAUAACAUUUGGAACCGCAGGGUUCUAAAGUGAAAGAUGGUUUUGCUAUCUCUUAUAGAUGGACCCGCGCCGUAUUAGCUAGUUGGUAAGGUAACGGCUUACCAAGGCGACGAUACGUAGCCGACCUGAGAGGGUGAUCGGCCACCCUGGAACUGACACACGGUCCAGACUCCUACGGGAGGCAGCAGUAGGGAAUCUUCCGCAAUGGGCGAAAGCCUGACGGAGCAACGCCGCGUGAGUGAUGAAGGGUUUCGGCUCGUAAAACUCUGUUAUUAUGGAAGAACAAAUGUGUAAGUAACUGUGCACAUCUUGACGGUACCUAAUCAGAAAGCCACGGCUAACUACGUGCCAGCAGCCGCGGUAAUACGUAGGUGGCAAGCGUUAUCCGGAAUUAUUGGGCGUAAAGCGCGCGUAUGCGGUUUCUUAAGUCUGAUGUGAAAGCCCACCGCUCUACCGUGCAGGGUCAUUGGAAACUGGGAAACUUGAGUGCACAAGAGGAGAGUGUAAUUCCAUGUGUAUC
rnacentral:rRNA from 1 species